rnacentral:rRNA from 1 species
GGGAAGAGCCAGCGCUGAAUCUUGUGCCCUCGGAUGCAAAGACAUGUGGCGUUGGGACGAGACAUUGCCUGUGCAGAAUGGUUAACUAAGUCCCUCUUGAACGGGGCCAUAGCCCAUGGAGGGUGCUAGGCCCGUAUGUUAACUGUGUGCGUCUCGUCCGUAGAGUCGGGUGCUUGGGAGUGCAGCCCAAAUACGGUGGUAACUCCAUCUAAGGCUAAAUAUGACCACGAGACCGAUAGCGAACAAGUACCGUGAGGGAAAGUGAAAAGAACUGAAGAGAGAGUUCAAUAGUACGUGAAACCUCUCGGGGGUAAGCGGGCAGAACUUGCAAGUAUUGAUAUUCAGGCUUAAUUUGGUGACUGAGAGAUGUUGUCCGUUGUGUGCUUUCUUGACGGUGCGCCGCAUUUAUUCACGUCGGGUUGCAUGUGACUGAUAGGUGCAAGGGUCCUGCGAAGCCUUGUUCGAGUCCUUUUCCGACUACUACUGCGGUGAACAGGCGUUCGCGGUCAACUGCUUGUACGAGUUGUGUACGUAUGAUGUGUGGAAGGGUAACCUUAUGAUUGUCGGUUGGCUCUGCUCAUUGCACUCUAGUGCGUGCGUGGUCUGUGUGUCGUGUCUUGACACACACACCAGGGAGUCUAACGUGUAUGCGAUCCAUUGGGAACCCGCAUAAUGAAAGUAAGAUGAGGAGAGAUCUGCGUUUCCU